GACGAACGCUGGCGGCGUGCUUAACACAUGCAAGUCGAACGGAAAGGCCUGCUUUCCCUUGUGGAUUGCGGGUACUCGAGUGGCGAACGGGUGAGUAACACGUGAGUGAUCUGCCCCCAACUUGGGUAUAAGCCUGGGAAACUGGGUCUAAUUCCCGAUAGGACUGCAGGGUGGUGCCUGUGGUGGAACACGAUUUUCUAGUGGUUGGGGAUGAGCUCGCGGCCUAUCAGCCUGUUGGUGGGGUAAUGGCCUACCAAGGCGGCGACGGGUAGCCGGCCUGAGAGGGUGGACGGCCACAUUGGGACUGAGAUACGGCCCAGACUCCUACGGGAGGCAGCAGUGGGGAAUAUUGCACAAUGGGCGGAAGCCUGAUGCAGCGACGCCGCGUGGGGGAUGACGGCCUUCGGGUUGUAAACUCCUUUCGACCGCGAGGAAGCCACCUGGUUGGAAGGGUGGUGACGGUAGUGGUAGAAGAAGCACCGGCUAACUACGUG
rnacentral:rRNA from 1 species